CCGCAAGAGUUAGCGAACUGUGGCGAAAGCUUUUCAAAGUUUACAGUACACAGUACAGAAUGCGUUUACGUCGCAGUUAGCUAGCUGGUGCACUUAGUCGUGUUAACGUUUCGCCAUUUUGUUUCUGGAGGAUUUUAUUUGGUAGAGGCGUUGUCGAUAUUUCCAACUUUCCCAAAUCUUCUCAGAGGAAACGACUUGUCUUAAUUUUUGCAAAUUUGUAUUCCUGUGUCGGAAAAUUAACAACAGAAAAGAUGGGUUUCAACAUCGUCGCAGCUCUUGUUGUUUUUCUUGGGAUGUGUGGAGCAGCCAACGCUAACCUCACGACACAAGUCUUCACAUGGGGUGAGGUGUCCGCCGGCGUCGCCGGCGUCGUCGCCAUCCUGGUCGCGAUCCUCGGCAUCACGAGAUGCGUCCACGAGUUCACCUGCCGCAACUACCAGAACGAGCCCGAGGCCCUCCGCUCCAUCGCCAUCGGAGGACGGGGAGAGAACACCAAGCUGUAGAGAGAUGAUGGGGGUCAAUGCCCACCAGGGCGUGGUCACCUCAGGGGUGUGAGGGAGGGGCGAACAGGUAUAAGGGGGGGGGGUGCAAGAUUAGAGGUCACUAUGCAAAGAUUGAUUACGCUUUGCAAAGAAUUAGUACGAGAGGAGGGAGGGGGCGGAUUCUUUGCUCAUAAACAUCUGACAAUGGGAUGUCGGGAGGGGGGGGGGUUGAAGGGGAAGAGACAAUGGAAGGGAAAAUCUAAAACUCGAAGGGUAACAAAAUGUGAUUUACAAAGGGAUGGGAUAAAUGAUGUGACGGAAGGGUGGGGGGGGGGGUUAAGGCAAAUUAUGGGACAGUGGGCCGGGGCCUGAAAUUAAAUUUGGAAGGGGUUCAUCAAUCAUCACGAUGACAUGGAUAUAGCCGAUGACGUCAUCAUAACCACUAGGGCAUUACCGGGUAACUGUCAAAAAGAAGGGAAGGGCGGUGCAUUAUGAUGCAAAACAAAACUGAUAAACAUAGGUUUUUGCCUCACCUAUUUCUGAAACAGUAUCUCAUGAGGAAGAAAAAAGGUGUAUGAUAUUUUGUAAGUUUCUUUCAUCCAAUCGUUUUCAACCGAUUGUUUACAUGUAUGUACCGUGUGUGGGGUUAAGAUAUCCGCCAUCGUUCUCCGUCACACCGACGAAACCGACUCCAAACCGACCGAUGGUAUGUCAUUCGAAAUAACGUAAUAGCUUUGAUCGGUCUGGAGUCGGCUUCUGAAGUGUGACUGGGUCAUUCUAUUGUAUAUACUGCAUGUCUUGUAUGUCAUCUUUCAUCUAUUCAGUACUAGUAGAAAUGAGAGAAAAAAUGUAGAUUUUUAAAUAGCUAUAUCUGUUGUAUUUGCACAUGUAGAAAUCUUUUUUCAUUCACCUCUCAAAUCAUAUCGAAUACUAUGUCUGUCUUUGUUUUAAAAAGGAUGUUUAUCAUGAUUAUCAGAACGGAAUGUUUCUAAACAAAGUUUUAUACAUAUAUAAAGCUAUUUAAAAGUGAGAUCAUCUAUUUGAAUUUCAGGGAGAAAAAAAUGCAUCUUGUAGAUUAUUUUCAUUCCUAACUCUGCAAAUGAAAAUAUGCUUUGUUUCCGUCUGUUUUGUAUUGCCUCUCAUAAAGUAUGCAAUAAUGAAUAAAAACAACGUUCAAAGUCCUCCCAACUUGGAGGUUAUUACAAUUUUAACUUUGGUCAUAAAUCACGUCCAAUGUCAAACCGAAAACUAUAUUUCCCCGCACGAAAGCAAGCUUGAGGCUUUUUAUAUCAUUGCCCCUAAAAUGUUAUGGUUUCAUUAUGACGUAUAAAUAUUUUGUUAAAGUCAUGCAGAUUUGUGUUAAACGGCCUGUGUUGUUUAUUUUUUGUACAAACUCCAUUUCGUUGUUUAUUCAGUCUUUAUAUAAUGUUUAAUUUCACUUACAUGUAGUAUAAGGAGAUUUAUGAGUGAGCUUAUGGGCUGAAAAAUGGGUGGAAAAUAUAAUGAACAAAAAUUAGUGUGUAUCCCAACAUUUCUUCCAUCUACAUCACGAUAAAGAAACUAGCACACAGUUAAAUUAUUUCAGGAGUUCAUUGAAACCAUGGUUGUACAUACUUCAAUCAUUGUUAUUUCCCCCAUUUCAAUGUAGAGUGAUAUUAAUAAGAACUGAUUUCGUAGAGUACCUCCUUUCCCGAUUUUUCUUUUAUUCUUGUAAUGUUUAAAAUUUGUUAAGUCAAUCGGUAGAUUAUACCAACUGGAAAGAACACAGUGUCAUGCAGUGUGUUCGUAGUGCGACGCAGUGUCAUACAAUGUGCAUACAGUGUGUUCACAGUGUGGACACACCGUUUGAGUGCAACACAGUGUGUACAUACCGUUUGCAGUGCAACACUGUGUACACACCGUUUGCGGUGCAACUCAGUGUGUACACACCGUUUGAGUGCAACACAGUGUGUACACACCGUUUGAGUGCAACACAGUGUUUACACACCGUUUGAGUGCAACACAUUGUGUUAACAGUGUGUACACAUUGUGUUAACAGUGUGUACACAUUGUAUUAACAGUGUGUACACAUUGUGUUAACACUGUGUACACAUUGCUCGCAGCGUGUACACAUUGUUCAGUGUGUCGGUGUGUUGGCAGUGUGCUCACAAUUCCAGUGUUCAAAGUAUUACACAGUGAGCUUACAGUGUGUUCACUGUGUCCAGGGUCACAGAGUGUGACUCUGUGUGUUCUGUGUCAUACAGUGCAUGUGAGCACAGUGUGUUCAAAGUAUGAUGACACAGCGAAUGUACACUGUGUUCACAGUGUUACGUAGUGAUUUUUUAGAGUCACACAGUGAGUUGAAACAGUGUGUUCAGUGUGGACGUGAUUAUGUGUAUUACCCCCUUAAAAUGCACAAAUUCAAAUCAUCAUGCAGCUAAUCUCACACUGUGGUCACACCAACAGCGUGAUUGUUCACAGUGUGUCCUACGUGAACGACUGUUGGUCACACUGUUUAGACGUCAUAUGUAACCACAGUGCAUGUGAAGACAAUUUCACACUGCGUCGCAUGCACUGUACACACUAUGCGCGGGACAUUGCGUUCUUCCCAGCAGAGGGAUGAAGGUUAUUAUUAUUUUUUUUAGAUUUCAUUGUCCUUUUGUGCCAUUAAGUGUCUUUCAUAGAAUUUUUAAAAAGUAAUUAAACAUAAUUGUUGAUUAAAAUCUUUUUUGAUGAAUUUUUAAUAUGAAAUCAAUGGUACCACUGUCUCAUUUUGUUUAGACUUGUAAAAGAGAAAGCUUGUUUCACUUUUGCAUAUCAAAUACAACCGAAACGAGUGCACAGUCAAAACAAAAUCUAGCAACAUGUAUAGAAUUUAUUCAAACUAAUAGAGCCUGGUUCAAUAUAAUAUGAACGUUCAGUGGUUGUUCAUAGUUCAGAGAGAGAGAGAGGGAGAAAAAAAGGAGUUUGAAACAAUGCUCAAUUUUUAAGCAAUAUAAAUAAUAUUGCUGAGUCGCCUGUUUAAUUUCAAAACAUAAAAAAAAAUAACAAUACCUAAUCAGUUCUGGUAAACUUGGUUGCAUAAAGCGUUUUCAGUGUUAGGGGCAGGUUUCAUAAAACUUGUCAUGCUAACAAAUCUACUGAAAUCCUUCACACAGAAUGGCUGAUAGUAACAGUGCAUUCGUUAUUAUGACAAGUCUUAAUGAAACGGGACACAUGUCUCCGACUUUAAUGCAGCAAAUGUUCC